AUUGAACGCUGGCGGCAGGCCUAACACAUGCAAGUCGAGCGAGCGACGGACGGGUGAGUAAUGUAUGGGGACUGCCCGAUAGAGGGGGAUAACUACUGGAAACGGUGGCUCAUACAGCAUACUGUCGGAUAACCCAUAUGGGAUUAGCUAGUAGGUACGGUAAUGGCUUACCUAGGCGACGAUCCCUAGCUGGUCUUAGAGGAUGAUCAGCCACACGGGGACUGAGACACGGCCCAGACUCCUACGGAGGCAGCAGUGGGGAAUAGUACACAAUGGGCGCAAGCCUGAUGCAGCCAUGCCGCGUGUAUGAAGAAGGCCCUAGGGUUGUAAAGUACUGUCAGUCGGGAGGCGUUACCGACAGAAGAAGCACCGGCUAACUCCGUGCCAGCCGCCGCGGUAAUUC
rnacentral:rRNA from 1 species